CGACCCUAGGUCAGGCAGGAUUACCCGCUGAGUUUAAGCAUAUCAAUAAGCGGAGGAAAAGAAACUUACAAGGAUUCCCUUAGUAACGGCGAGCAAAUCGGGAACAACCCAGCCUUAGAAUCGGGCGGCUCCGUCAUUCGAAUUAUAGUUUGGAGAAGCAUCCUCAGCAGCGGACUUGGCCCAAGUCCCUUGGAAGGGGGCGCCAGAGAAGGUUAGAACCCCAUUUUGCUCAAACCCUGUCGCACAAUGAGGCACUGUGUACGAGUUAGGUUGAUUGGGAAUGCAGCCUAAAUCGGGCAGUGAAUUCUGUCCAAAGCUAAAUACGAGCGACAGACCGAUAGCGAAAAGUACCGUGAGGGAAAGAUGAAAAGGACUUUGAAAAGAGAGUCAAAGAGUGCUUGAAAUUAUCAGGAGGGAAGCGGAUAGGGACUGGCUAUGCACCCCUGUCGGAUAUGUAAUGGCGACGAGCCGAUCCGUCGAUCAACCCGGGGCAUGGACCAGCGUGGAUUGGGAGACAUCCAAAGCCCGGGCUCUCAAUACGCUCAUGGAACGCUAUCUCCUCGAUUGUGGCAGGCAGCUCCGGUGUGCUUCAGCAUCUGCGAGCUACGGAUUCUGGCCUGUAGGCUCCCUCAUUCAACUCAUCUUGAAAAAUAGAACAAGGAGUCUGACAUAUGUGCGAUUCAACGGGCGAGUACUCGCCCGUAAGGCGUAAGGAAAUGAAUUGGUGGUAUCCCCCUAAGGGGUGCACUACUAACCGACCUUGAUAUUCUAAGAAGGGUUCGAGUGUGAGCAUACCAGUUGGGACCCAAAAAAUGGUGAACUAUGCCUGAGCGGGGCGAAGCCAGAGGAAACUCUGAUGGAGGCCCGCAGCGAUAAUGACAUGCAAAUCGUUUGUCUGACUUGGGUGUAGGUCUCGCGACUGCUUUGUCAAUCCGUGCCACAGAAUCAAGAGCUCCAAGUGGGCCAUUUUUUGUAAACAGAACUGGCGAUGCGGGAUGAACCAAAAGCCGGUUACUGCGCCAAACUGCGCGUUAACCUAGACCCCACAAAGGGUGUUGGUCGAUUAAGACAGUAGGACGGUGUUCAUGAAAGUAAAAAUCCACUAAGAAGUGUGUAACAACUCACCUUAUGAAUAAACAAGACCCAAAAAUGGAUGGCACUUUAGCGCGUGCCCUACACUCGACCGUCGAGGAAAGUUCCAUGCCCCGAUGAGUAGGAGGCCAUCGGUACAGAUAUAGGUGGUAUUACCAAAUAUUCAAAUGAGAACUUUGAAGUCCAAAGAGGGGAAAGGUUCCAUGUGAAUAUAACUUGCAGAUGGGUUAGUCGAUCCUUAGGGUCGGAAAAACCCUGACAGAUAGAGCAUUUUGCGUACUCUAAAAGAGAAUCGGGUUAAAAUUCCUGGACCGAGAAGUGGUGGUCGACAGUAACAUUAGAAAGUCCAGAGACGUCGGCGGAAGCCUCGAGAAGGGUUGUCUUUUCUGUUAAACAGCCUGCCCACCCUAGAAUCGGCUUAGCUGGAGGUAGGAUCCAGUGGCUGGAAGAGCACCGUAUAUUGCGUGGUGUCCGGUGCACUUCUGGCAGCCCUUGAAAAUCCAAAUGACCGAAUGUUUUCCACACCUGUUCGUUAUCAUAGCCUCAUCAAGUCUCCAAGGGGAACAACCUCUGGUCGAUGGAACAAUGUAGGCAAGGAAAGUCUGGAAAAUGGCUCCGUAACUUUUAGAAAAUGAUUGGCACUGAGGGCUGGGCAUGGGGGUCCCAGUCCUGAACCCGUCGGCUGUCUGUGGACUACUCGAGAUGCUCCUGCAGUAAGAGCGGGUCGCUGCAUGCCAGUUUGGGGACGGAUUAGGAACGGUUCCUUCAGGGGCCUUCCCCGCGCGUUGAACAGCCAGCUCAAAACUGGUAUGGACAAGGGUAAUCUGACUGUUUAAUUAAAACAAAGCAUUGGGAUGGUCCCAACGGAUGUUCAAGCAUUGUCAUUUCCGCCCAGUGCUCUGAAUGUCAAAGUAAAGAAAUUCAAGAAAGUGCGGGUAAACGGCAGGAGUAAUAUGAGUCUCUUAAGGUAGCCAAAUGCCUCGUGAUCUAAUUAGUGACGCGCAUGAAUGGAUUAACGAGAUUACCACUAUACCUAUCUACUAUCUAGCGAAACCACAACCAAGGGAAUGGGUUUGGCAGAAUUAGCUAGGAAAGAAGACCCUCUUAAGCUUGACUCUACUCUAAAAGGCGAAAGCGAAAUACCAAUACUUUUAACGUUAUUUUACUUAUUUCAUGAAUCAAAAGUGGAGCACUGCCUCUCUUUUUGGACCCAAGGCUCGCUCUGCGGGCCGAUCCGGGUGGAAGACAUUGUUAGGUAAGGAGUUAGGCUGGGGCGGCAUAUCUUUUAAAAGAUAACGCAGGUGUCCUAAGAUGAGCUCAAAGAGAAUAGAAAUAUUGUGUGGAACAGAAGCGUAAAAGCUCAUUUGAUUAUGAGUUCCAGUACGAAUACGAACCAUGAAAGCGUGGCUUAACGAUCCUGUAGACCUUCAAAAUUUGAAGCUAAAGGUGUCAGAAAAGUGUUACCAUAGGGAUAACUGGCCUGUUGCAGCCAAGCGUUCAUAGUGAAAUUGCUUUUUCAUUCUUCGAUGUCGGCUCUUCCUAUCAUUGUGAAGCAGAAUUCACCAAGUGUUGGACUAUUCACCCACCAAAAGGGAAUGUGAGCUGGGUUUAGAUCAUCGUGAUAUAGGUUAGUUUUACCCUACUUAUGACAGUGUCGCAGUAAUAAUUCAACCUAGUAUGAGAGAAAAUGUUGAUUCACAUAAUUUGUCAUCGCGCUUGGUUGAAAAGCCAGUAGCACAAAGCUACCGUGUGCUGGAUUAUGAUUGAACGCCUCUAAGUCAGAAUCCGGGCUAGAAGAGACGCAUGCGCCUGCUGUCUGCUUGCCGACCCGCAGUAGAGGCCUCGUCCCCCAAGGACACGUGUCGUUUGCUAAGCCACCACGAUGGAAGAUCCACGGUAGCCACCUUGAAGUAUAAUUUCCAUCGACCGGUGGGUAGAAUACUCUGCAGACGACUUAAAUAUGCGACAGGGUAUUAUAAGGUUAAGAGUGGCCUUGCUGCCACGAUCCACUUAGAUUCAUCCCUUUGUCGCUCUGGUUCAU
rfam:Capsicum annuum cultivar Zunla-1 unplaced genomic scaffold scaffold42231, whole genome shotgun sequence